UACGUAGGGUGCGAGCGUUAAUCGGAAUUACUGGGCGUAAAGCGUGCGCAGGCGGUUUUGUAAGCCAGAUGUGAAAUCCCCGGGCUUAACCUGGGAAUAGCAUUUGGGACUGCAAGGCUGGAGUGCGGCAGAGGAGACUGGAAUUCCUGGUGUAGCAGUGAAAUGCGUAGAUAUCAGGAGGAAUACCGAUGGCGAAGGCAGGUCUCUGGGCUGACACUGACGCUCAUGCACGAAAGCGUGGGGAGCAAACAGG
rnacentral:rRNA from 1 species